UCCUCGUUAGUAUAGUGGUGAGUAUCCCCGCCUGUCACGCGGGAGACCAGGGUUCGAUUCCCUGACGGGGAG
rnacentral:tRNA from 1 species